rfam:Glycine soja cultivar W05 scaffold4457_12, whole genome shotgun sequence.
ACUGUUUAUUAAAAACACAGGACUCUGUUAAGUGUAACAUGAUGUAUAGAGUUUGACACCUGCCCGUUGCUGGAAAGUCGGAAGGAGAAGUGUUAUGAGCUUUGAAUGGAAGCCCCGGUAAAUGGCAGCAGUUACUCUAACUUUUCUAAGGGCAUGUGAACUCCUCUAUGGAUCAAAUUUCAGCAUCUCAAAUAGGUAAAA